CCUAAAGGGGGUAAGCCACCCUAUUCCGGCUGAGAACCAUGGUCUCAGACUUGGAAGUGUUGAUUCUCAUCCCCGCCAAUUCACACUCGGCUGCAAACCAUCCCAGUCCACGAUGAAGGUUCUGAUUUGAUGAAGCCAACGAAAUUUUGUGGUCCCCAAACCGGACUCCCUACUGCCCCCGACUACACCUAGAAAUCCUGUGCAUAGAAGUAAUAAACAGAACCUCUGACAAAGGGCAGCCCUGCCGGAGUCCAAAAUGCACUGGGAACAAGUCUGACUUACUGCCGGCAAAGAGAACCAAACUACUGCUCCAGUCAUAUAGGGACCGGACAGCCCUUAGCAGAGGGCCCCGGACCCUGUACUCCCAGAGCACCCCCUACAGGUCGCCACAAGGGACACAGUCGAAAGCUCUGAACGGCCGCGUCAACAAUGGAAGUGGAGAACAUGGUCCUCAGACUCAAUGUCUCCACCUCCCCGGGAUCUGGUUGAAGCUCUGCCGGAGGUGGGAGUUGAAGAUCUUUCUUACCGUAGACUCUGCCAAACAUACCCAGCAGACCCUCACAGUACGUUUGGGUCUGCCAAGUCUGUCCAACUUCCUCCCCCGCCAUCGGGUCCAACUCACCACCGCCCCUCUCUUAACCUGAGUUUCCAAGACAUACGGCCGGAGGUCAGAUGAAAGUCGAUCAUCGACCUCUGACCUAGGGUAUCCUGGUGCCACCUGUACACCCUUAUGCUUGAACAUGGUGUUCGUUAUGGACAAAUUGUGACUAGCAGAGAAGUCCAAUAACAGAACACCACUCGGGUUCAGGUCGGAGGGGCCGUUCCUCCCAAUCCCAGAGACGCCAAGAAGGUCGGGUACUCUACACUGCCAUUUGGCCUGUAAGCACAAAUAACAGUGAGAGACCUUUCCCCGACCCGAAGGUGCAGGGAAACGACACUCUCGUUCACUGGGGUGAACUCCAACACAUGGCUGCUGAGCUGUGGGGCUAUGAGCAAGCCCACAUCAGCCCGCUGCCUCUCACCACGGGCAACUCCAGAGUAGUAGAGAGUCCAGACUCUCUUGAAGUUUGGUUCCAGAGCCCAAGCUGUGCAUGGAGGCGAGCCCAACUAUCUCUAGUCUGUAUCUCUGAUCCUCCCACACCAGCUUAGGCUCCUUCCCAGCCAGCGAGGUGACAAUCCAUGUCCAGAUUUCGUGUCCAGUGAUUUGGUCGCCGAGGCCCCCGCCUUCGACUGCCACCCAAUCCACAUUGCACCAGCCACUUAUGGUUCCUCCUGCAGGUGGUGGGCCCACAGGAGAUCGGCCCCAUGUCGCUCCUUCGGGCUGAGCCCGGCCGGGCCCCGUGGGUGAGCCACACAUCUGUUCUGAUGAAGCUACAGUUAACAAACUGAUAGAAGGAAAACCUUUUAAAAAAUGAUGAAAAUUGUGUCAAUAGCAGGAGUAAAAGUAUAUCAUUGAGGGGAUGUAAGACAUUGUCUAGGAUGGACACUAGUUUGUUUAUUGUCCUCUUUUCCUUGAGUUAAUCAAAACAGUUGAGAGAGCAGCCCAGUACAGAGCCAGACUGGUAGAAGACACCAGAAUCUAGACAGCAGUAGAGUUUACUCAUGCAUUUCCUGUACACAGGAACAUUACUUUUUUAAUGCAACAUUUUUUUUUACUUUUUACUGCUUUUGUUUUUAUUCUCUUUUUUUAUAAACACAUGAGACAUAUUUGCAUAUUGUGAGCAUUUUUUUAUUGUUCAUAUUUUCAUCUUCACCAAUAACCUGAUUCUUUGUUUCUCACCUCACCAUUUUCGUUGAACUUAUGAUGCAGAUGGAUAUUACUGUAAACUGAAAUAUACAGAAGGGUAUGUGCUAUAAACAAAAUAUAUUGUUAUUACUAUAGACAGAAAUAUACAGGAGGAUAUGUACUAUGCACAUAAUAUAAUAUAUCAGGUGGGUAUAUGUGUGACAAGUGUAAUAUCUUUUAGAUUUGUUUUUAUUUUGAUGGGUGGAUUUCAGGUCCGAAGACAUGCCCACUGCUGCUGAGAUGCGCGUUAAAACUGAGCACACCUGUGCCACGCAAUUAGUGCGGCAUGUUCGUGGCUUUAUAAAAAGCACAUUUGAGUGGGGCUCUUAAAUUUCUCGUGUGUAUGCUAUGUGGGCAGAAAAAGGUCUUUUGUCUUGUAUCUUCCUGUUGCUUUCCCCUGGUGCGGCCAAAGAGCACUAGCUGUUUUGUCAGUGGCUGUUUUGUUAGUUGCUGUACUGCUUACUGCUGUUUUAUUUUGUUUGUUUAUGUAUUCAUUACUGGUUUACAGUCGGGACUGAUCUUGGAAUGAUCCAAGAUGGCGGCGCGGCAGUAGCACGCAGCGGCCUCUCCGGAUUCAAUACGGUGCUAAUUACGUUUUUAAGUUUUUAUUUACGGUUUUG